GACGUAGGGUGCGAGCGUUGUCCGGAAUUACUGGGCGUAAAGGGCUCGUAGGCGGCCAACUAAGUCAGACGUGAAAUCCCCAGGCUCAACCUGGGAACUGCGUCUGAUACUGGAUGGCUUGAAUCCGGGAGAGGGAUGCAGAAUUCCAGGUGUAGCGGUGAAAUGCGUAGAUAUCUGGAGGAAUACCGGUGGCGAAGGCGGCAUCCUGGACCGGGAUUGACACUGAGGAGCGAAAGCUAGGGGAGCAAACGGG
rnacentral:rRNA from 1 species